GAUUGCCCUAGUAACGGCGAGUGAAGCGGCAACAGCUCAAAUUUGAAAGCUGGCCUUCGGGUCCGCAUUGUAAUUUGUAGAGGAUGCUUUGGGUGAAACGCCAGUCUAAGUUCCUUGGAACAGGACGUCAUAGAGGGUGAGAAUCCCGUAUGUGACUGGAAAUGUUAACCUAUGUAAAGCUCCUUCGACGAGUCGAGUUGUUUGGGAAUGCAGCUCUAAAUGGGAGGUAAAUUUCUUCUAAAGCUAAAUAUUGGCGAGAGACCGAUAGCGCACAAGUAGAGUGAUCGAAAGAUGAAAAGCACUUUGGAAAGAGAGUUAAAAAGCACGUGAAAUUGUUGAAAGGGAAGCGCUUGCAAUCAGACUUGUUUAAACUGUUCGGCCGGUCUUCUGACCGGUUUACUCAGUUUGGACAGGCCAGCAUCAGUUUCGGCGGCCGGAUAAAGGCUCUGGGAAUGUGGCCUUCACUUCGGUGAAGGUGUUAUAGCCCAGGGUGUAAUACGGCCAGCCGGGACUGAGGUCCGCGCUUCGGCUAGGAUGCUGGCGUAAUGGUUGUAUGCGACCCGUCUUGAAACACGGACCAA
rnacentral:rRNA from 1 species